CGCGGGAAUACGUAGGGUGCAAGCGUUAAUCGGAAUUACUGGGCGUAAAGCGUGCGCAGGCGGUUAUAUAAGUCAGAUGUGAAAUCCCCGGGCUCAACCUGGGAACUGCAUUUGAGACUGUAUGGCUAGAGUGUGUCAGAGGGGGGUAGAAUUCCACGUGUAGCAGUGAAAUGCGUAGAUAUGUGGAGGAAUACCGAUGGCGAAGGCAGCCCCCUGGGAUAACACUGACGCUCAUGCACGAAAGCGUGGGGAGCAAACAGGAUUAGAUACCCCCGUAGUCCCUGUCUCUUAACACAUCUCCGA
rnacentral:rRNA from 1 species